AGAAUAACACCGUUAACAGUGUCCUUGUAAUCAACUAAACAUACUAAAAUCUGAUAUAGACAGUAUGCAAGUGUGCCAAAGGGAAAUUGCUACAGUAACCAGCACAGAGGCUUGCUAAUGGCAAUCUUCUUUCCUCAAAGCAAUGCGCGCCUGUUUCUCGAAAAAGAAAAGAAAAGAAAAGAAAAGAAAAG